AUACUGGUUGGCUAGAGUAUGGGAGAGGAUGGUAGAAUUCCAGGUGUAGCGGUGAAAUGCGUAGAGAUCUGGAGGAAUACCGAUGGCGAAGGCAGCCAUCUGGCCUAAUACUGACGCUGAGGUACGAAAGCAUGGGGAGCAAACAGGAUUAAAUACCCUGGUAGUCCAUGCCGUAAACGAUGUCUACUAGCCGUUGGGGCCCUUGAGGCUUUAGUGGCGCAGCUAACGCGAUAAGUAGACCGCCUGGGGAGUACGGUCGCAAGACUAAAACUCAAAUGAAUUGACGGGGGCCCGCACAAGCGGUGGAGCAUGUGGUUUAAUUCGAUGCAACGCGAAGAACCUUACCUGGCCUUGACAUACAGAGAACUUUCCAGAGAUGGAUUGGUGCCUUCGGGAACUCUGAUACAGGUGCUGCAUGGCUGUCGUCAGCUCGUGUCGUGAGAUGUUGGGUUAAGUCCCGCAACGAGCGCAACCCUUUUCCUUAUUUGCCAGCACUUCGGGUGGGAACUUUAAGGAUACUGCCAGUGACAAACUGNAGGAAGGCGGGGACGACGUCAAGUCAUCAUGGCCCUUACGGCCAGGGCUACACACGUGCUACAAUGGUCGGCACAAAGGGUUGCUACACAGCGAUGUGAUGCUAAUCUCA
rnacentral:rRNA from 1 species